rnacentral:rRNA from 1 species
UACAGAGGGUGCGAGCGUUAAUCGGAAUUACUGGGCGUAAAGCGCGCGUAGGCGGCUUUGCAAGUCGAGUGUGAAAUCCCCAGGCUUAACCUGGGAACUGCAUUCGAGACUGCAUGGCUAGAGUGUGGCAGAGGAAGCUGGAAUUCCCGGUGUAGCGGUGAAAUGCGUAGAGAUCGGGAGGAAUACCUAUGGCGAAAGCAGGCUUCUGGGCCAUCACUGACACUGAUCUGCGAAAGCUAGGGGAGCAAACAGG